AUUCAACAUAAAGAUUUCUAGUUGUUUAUAGAUAGGUGACAGUGAGGAGAGAAAAAAACAAGACCUGCUUCUUAUUCUCUGGAAGAUCUUCUUCCAUUGGCUCUGGCUUGGUCUCCUUUUUGGGAGGGGGUGGUGGUGGAGGUGUUGCAAUCUCUUCCUCCUCAUCCAUACUGCCCAGAUCGACCCCAAGGAGGACGCUGAGAGUGGUCAUGAUCCGGGGAUCUUGUAGUUUCGUGCCCAGGUCAGAAGGCUUGUUUCGUAGCUGCUCUAUCAGCUCCCGGUAGGUAGGAUCACUGAGUAGUGUCCUUGUCCUGGGAUCACUCUCCAACUUCUGAUACAGAUUAGGCAUGUUGAAAGGGUUCAUGAAUUUUCUCUCUGCCAACCUGGCCUCCAUAUUCUGUAAACCCUCUUUCAGUUGAGGGUUAUUU
rnacentral:lncRNA from 1 species